ACUUGAUUUUAUGGAUUUCAGGAUUGAAAGCAUUGGAGGAAGAAUGCUGCAAUUUAAUUUUGUUAAGCCGAUUUUCGUUUUCAUACCUGUUUUCAUAUUGACUAUAACGUUCCUCUGCUCGACAAAUAAUAUUGUAUAGCUCACGAGCUAUUUCUGUUUCAUUGCGUACUGUUUGUAAUAAAAAUUUAUACUUUUUCUCAGUUUCUUGUGAGAAUGAAAGAAUUUUUGAAAUUUCAGAACACUCUGCCUGUACUUUGAAAGAAUUUAGGUAGCUUUUCAGUUUUUCAACAUUCUGGAUUAUAAUUUCUUGCCUUUCCCUUUGUCGUCUAAAAUUCCACUUGGCAUCAACAGCUUCUCUAAAGCAUUUUAAAAGUGAAUGAAUGUCGGUGUGAUUUGAGUACAUGGAGAUGUUAAAAUAAUCAUUACUCCCUAAUUUUUUUAACAUAUUUCUCUCGUCUUUAAGCAAAUCCCACUGUGCCAAGUAAGAGUUUGCUUGCAAUAAUAAUUGAUCUGUAUUGGGAUUUUUUUUCUCAGCCAAGUUUGACAAAAUUCUUUCAGACUGGGCAGAUAACUCAAAGAUGUCCUUGCCAAAGGCACUGAUAUCUUU